GUUUCUUACUAGCUUAGUUAAUCGAAUGUACCGUCAUAUGCUAAUCGGUUUAGGCAUAUUGUUAAUUAUGUGUGAGUGUGUUGUGACUAAUGAACCGACCAACAAAGCGUGGGCAUUAUAAUUUAAAAAGGGCUAGGCCAAUUUGAUAGAAUCUGAUCCAAAUCAUCGACUGUUGAAUAUCGCGACUAUACAGUAUAAUGGAAACUGAUGAUUUAUUAUCUAUGGACCUUGUUAGUGACUGUAAUAAAACAGUUGGUAUCAAAGAAUUGGAUCAGAGAAAAGAGAGCCAAAACAUGGAAAAUUUAAUGUGCGUACGGUUUAUCUCAUAAGGAGUAUAACAAAAAAGGAAAACUUAAUCUAACCAAAAAAUAAUACUGUUAUGGAACGUAAAUAACAAAAUCCCCUUACCAGACUACCGAGUUGCUUUUUUUUAUUUACAACGACUUCAUUCGCCUUGUAUACAUUUUCUUCUCAUUCACUUUUAUUUAAAAUGAUAGCUACAGUAAACGUGUACAUGAGAUUCAGCAGAUAAACCGUUUGCCGAGAACAAAAAACUAGUUGAACUACCGCGUUGGAGAAAAAUUUGUGUUUAGCGGUAGCUAAUUUUACAAGGAAAUCAUUCAUAACUUGAAAUUAAUGUUCAUAUACUACUUAAAUUCAAAACUUGUAUUUCUAUUAUUAUUAUUUGAUUUGUUAUUUUUUCAUCGAUAGUUACCAAAAAAACGUAAGUGUAUUUUUAAUAUUGUUACUAUAAA